GAUAUACUCCCUCCGUUCCAAAAUAAAUGACCCAAAUUUGUACUAACUUUAUACUAUUUAGUACAAAGUUAGUAUAAACUUGGGUCAUCUAUUUUGGAAUGGAGGGAGUAGAAA
rnacentral:pre_miRNA from 1 species